ACAUACACCCAUAUCAUGUUGAAUGCACUGGUUCUCAUCCAAUCACCAAAGUUAACGCCAAGCCUAGUUAGUACUUAGAUGGGUGACCACUUGGGAGACUUAGGUGCUGUCAGCA
rnacentral:rRNA from 1 species